UACGUAGGGUGCAAGCGUUGUCCGGAAUUAUUGGGCGUAAAGAGCUCGUAGGCGGUUUGUCGCGUCUGCUGUGAAAACCCGAGGCUCAACCUCGGGCCUGCAGUGGGUACGGGCAGACUAGAGUGCGGUAGGGGAGAAUGGAAUUCCUGGUGUAGCGGUGGAAUGCGCAGAUAUCAGGAGGAACACCAAUUGCGAAGGCAGCUCGCUGGGACGUUACUGACGCUGAUGCGCGAAAGCGUGGGGAGCAAACAGG
rnacentral:rRNA from 1 species